UCAUUGGGGAAGGUCUGUCUCCAGAGCAGGAGAUUAGCACCUGGGACAGCGCAGUGCUGGGCAGGCUCCGGGGAGCAGAAGGGAACUCCAGCCCACUACCUGCCAGGCUGCAGACCCUGAGGGAAGAGCCUAGCUGGUGCAAAGGGGGCCAAAGGGGAAGUGGCCCAGGGACAGCUGGACAAGGAGAGAGAAGGAGGGCAGGGAAGCUGCCACUAAAGGGUUGGGACCCAGAGUAGUGGGAGGGCCUGCUUCCCCCUUGUACUGCACCUGGCCAUGAAGUAGGGUGGCCGAAACAAUCCAAAUAAACUGCAACUGGCCCUUGAAACAAGGGGAUAGACUUUGGAGGCUGUGGUUGGCUGCUGAGGCCAGUGCAAGGACUGUUGCUAAGCCCCGCCCCCCCAAAGGGGGUGAGGAAGGAUUAGGGGGCACUGCCAGAGGGCAGUGUCCUGAAGAGGAAGACACCGGUGAGGAACAGAUGACGGAUGGGACAGCACCAGCAGAGGGCACUCCCCAUGGACUGAGCUAAUUCCUGGAGGUAACCAGCAGGAGGCGCCACAGUGAUCACUUCCUGGUGGAAGCCAGGAGAUGCUUUGAAAGCUGAUAUCUACCUGGUAAAGCAGUGGACAAAGAGCUGAUGGGACAUUGCCAGAGUUCCUCACAAUUCCUCAAGGAACCAGAUUCCUCUCUUGAUGAGAUCCGCGCUGAUGGCUGUGCAGAGUAACAUAGCUUGAGAAAGUGGCAAUACGAGCUCUCAAGUCUUACUAUAAACCAGUUUCUUGCCUGCUUUAAUACACGGAAGAGGAACUUUUUCAUCAUCACCAUCAUGCAUCCACACAUCCUAUGUCAUAAACAUGGAAGCAUUUUUAGUCUUAAGAUGGCAUUCAAGAGAGAGCCAAAUGCUGAUUUUAACUAUGAAUUCUCUUCCAGUUAUAAUUCAUAGCUUCUUCCUUUUUGUUAAUCAGUGACUGUUUUAUGUAUUAAAUAAUUAGUCUGUUU